CGGGGCGUGGCGCAGUUUGGUAGCGCACCCGCUUUGGGAGCGGGGGGUCGCAGGUUCAAAUCCUGUCGCCCCGACCA
rnacentral:tRNA from 3 species